rnacentral:rRNA from 1 species
ACUCCUACGGGAGGCAGCAGUCGAGAAUCUUCCACAAUGGGCGAAAGCCUGAUGGAGCGACGCUGCGUGUAGGAUGAAGGCCUUAGGGUUGUAAACUACUGUCACGCUAUAGGAACCCGCGUUGGUUAAUAGCCAGCGCGCUGACCAAAGCGAAAGGAAGUGCCGGCUAACUCCGUGCCAGCAGCCGCGGUAAUACGGAGGGCGCAAGCGUUGUUCGGAAUCACUGGGCAUAAAGAGCAUGUAGGCGGCUUCUUAAGUCGGAUGUGAAAGCCCUCGGCCCAACCGGGGAACUGCAUUCGAUACUGAUUAGCUCGAGGACAGGAGGGGUGAGUGGAACUUCAGGUGGAACGGUGAAAUGUGUAGAUAUCUGAAGGAACACCGGUGGCGAAAGCGGCUCACUGGCCUGUCUCUGACGCUGAGAUGCGAAAGCUAGGGUAGCAAAC